UACAUGGGGUGCAAACGUUGCUCGGAAUUAUUGGGCGUAAAGCGCACGCAGGCGGUCUGUUAAGUCAGAUGUGAAAUCCCCGAGCUUAACUUGGGAACUGCAUUUGAAACUGGCAAGCUAGAGUCUUGUAGAGGGGGGUAGAAUUCCAGGUGUAGCGGUGAAAUGCGUAGAGAUCUGGAGGAAUACCGGUGGCGAAGGCGGCCCCCUGGACAAAGACUGACGCUCAGGUGCGAAAGCGUGGGGAGCAAACAGG
rnacentral:rRNA from 1 species